CUUCCUCAUAAUCCUUCUCAAGGGCAGCCAUAUUCUCAUGGGCCUGAGAAAAACUUUCCAUCCCCCAUGCCCUCACCUAAAUACCAGUGAAGAAAGACAUGUUUGGCAUACAUCAAGUCAAACUUGUGGUCAGGUGAGCCCAGGUCUGAGCAAUGGCUGUGGUGUUGCUCAGCAUGUACACAGCUCACUGUACUUUGGCUGGGUCCCCACCAGACAUCACAGUGGGAGGCUGGUUUUUAAUAACAACUUUGAAGCAGUGGGGCACCAGUCCACAGACUAGAUGAUAUACUUGGUCUUAAUGGUGGCAAUGGCAGCAUUGACAUCUUUGGGAACCACUUGCCACUAUACAACAGGCAACAAGCCAUGUGUUUACCAUGGCAAGGGUCACAUUUUACAAUCUGGUUGGCUGGCUCAAAGCAUGCAUUCAUCAUCUCUGCUACAGAAAGUUGUUCAUGGUAGGCUUUCUCAGCAGAGAUGACAAGGGCGUAUGUAGCCAGAGGGAAGUGGAUGUGGGGAUACAGCACUGGGUUGGUCUGGAGUUCUGUCAGUUCAACGUUCAGAGCUCCAUCAAAUCUGAGAGAAGCAGUGAUGGAGGGCACAAUUUGGCCUCUCAACCAACUAAGGUUAGUGUAGAUUCAAUAUCGAGGUUUCUAUAACAGGUGUCAUAGAUGGCCUCAUUGUCUACGAUUAAGGCACAGAGUGCUCCAGGGUGGUGUGGGUAGUGAGGAUGGAGUUAUAGGGCUCAAUUACAGCUGUGGAAACAUGGGAGGCUGGGUAAAUGGAGAACUCCAGCUUGGACUUCUUGCCAUAAUCAACAGAGAGAUGUUCCAUCAGCAGAGAGGUAAA
rnacentral:lncRNA from 1 species